AGUGAACGCUGGCGGUAGGCCUAACACAUGCAAGUCGAACGGCAGCACAGUAAGAGCUUGCUCUUACGGGUGGCGAGUGGCGGACGGGUGAGGAAUACAUCGGAAUCUACUUUUUCGUGGGGGAUAACGUAGGGAAACUUACGCUAAUACCGCAUACGACCUACGGGUGAAAGCAGGGGAUCUUCUGACCUUGCGCGAUUGAAUGCGCCGAUGUCGGAUUGGCUAGUUGGCGGGGUAAAGGCCCACCAAGGCGCCGAUCCGUAGCUGGUGUGAGAGGCUGGUCGGCCACACGGGAACGGAGCCGCGGUCAAGGCUCCUGCGGUAGGCAGCAGUGGGGAAUAUUGGACAAUGGUGGGAAGCCUGAUCCAGCCAGACCGAGUGGGAGGAGGAGGCCUUCGGGUUGUAAAGCCCUUUUGUUGGGAAAGAAAAGCAGCAGGUUAAUACCCCGCUGUUCUGACGGUACCCAAAGAAUAAGCACCGGCUAACUUCGUG
rnacentral:rRNA from 1 species